ACCAUUGCACUCCAGCCUGGGCAACAAGAGUGAAACUCUGUCUCAAAAAAAAUAAUAAUAAUAAUGAUAUAUCAUCAGCUCAAAAAGCCCCAAAUCUCAUCACUGAAUGAAUGAGUUAUGGGUGUGACUCUGGGUCUGAUCCAUCCUGGGGCAAAAUUCAUCUUAAUCUGGCACCAAAGAAGAGUUCAGGGCUGCCUCCAUGGAGGCCAAGGCUGGGCCUGUCCAGGGCAGGUUCCUUCUGCAAAGACGUAGACAGGGCAGCACAGAGGGCUCCUCUGAACACUCACUGAGAAGCCCGGCUGGUAUCUGUUACCUGAGGGAGCUGAGCUAUGGUUACCCACGGGCUUUCCUAGUCUGCAUGUCACUCCUCCCAUAACCACUUAUGUUUAAAUAAUUUGUACUUAUACUGUGACUCAUUACAAAAAUGAUUUGAGGUGGAAUUAGAGCAGGGACUCUCAGAGCUGGAAGGCACCAAUUCCCAGCCCAUGCAUGACUCAUCCUGGCUCAGCUCUCCUCUGGCCUGGUCUAGAACACUGCCAGCACCAGAGAACUCCCUCCCACGUCAGCCCCACAGGGAGGGAGGCCAGGAGUGGAGCCCUGUGUGUGGGUUGCCCCUGUUAAAAUGGACUACCUGAUCCUGGGAAGGGGGAGGGAGAAGGUGCACACUGACCUAGUUUGGUUUUGCUUUUGUAUAUGGUUAUUCCUAUGACUGAAGAUGUAUGAGCCACUGUGGCUGCCUGCAUCUCUGGCUGUGUGUGUCUUAUGUCUCAUGCCCCAGGGUCCAGCAGUGAACCUUGCUUUCCAGAACAGAGGGCUAUAGGCAAGUGCAAUGGAGAAGAAGUAAAAUGGGACCAGAGCCACAUGCCUGUGGGAGAGAGGGAGCGAAGGAAGCAGGAGAAGACCAGAAAGGAUGCAGCCGCAGUUUUGUGUCUGGCCUCAGCCAGAUCCCACAGGGGAACUCACAGAGGAACUCAGGGGCACGCAUAGUGUUAUGGUCUGAAUGUUUGUUGUCCCCCUCCCCAAGAUGUAUAUGUUGAAAUCCUAACCCCUAAUGUGAUGGCAUUGGGAGGUGGAAGAUUUUGGGAGGUGAUUAGGUCGUGGGGUGGAGCCCUCACAACUAGGAUUAUUACCUUUAUAAAAGAGACACCAGAGAGUUCCUUUUCCCAUUUACACCAUGUGAGGAUACAGCAAGAAGAUGCCAUUUAGGAAAUGGGAAGCAGUCCCUCUUCCAACCUGCUGGUGCCUUGAUCUUGGACUUCCCAACCUUCAGAACUGUGGGCAGUAAAUGUUUGUUGUUUAAGCCACACAGUCUAAGGUGCUUUUGUUAUUGCAGCCUGAACGAACUGCAAGACAAUUAGCAUCCAAGACUGGAUCCCUCCUCAUACCCUGGAGAUGAAGGAGAUGAGUGCCUGUGGGCAGAGAAGAGGGCCACUCUGAAACCACUCACCUCCCACCACAGGGUCUGCCGCUGCACUUCCACACAUCACCCACAAGCCACCAUGCCAGCCUACCACCAAGCCGGACUCUGCAGGGGCCCAGCCAGGGCCACAUAUCCACGGCUUUUCCUAAGGCACAGAGAAGCUGAGAAACCUACAUCCAGGGCUCAGCAGGGCUGUCCCGCCUAAAGAAAACCAAGAGUACAGAAGCAGCACUUGGUAAGCGUGUGCACCGGAGGUUUCUCUUGACAAUCUGCUUCAUAAAAUAAAAUAAGUGUGUGUA